CCGCGGAUAGGGUAGCUGGGUAGCCUACGGGCCUGAUGGAGCCCGUGACGCGGGUUCAAAUCCCGCUCCGCGAACCA
rnacentral:tRNA from 1 species